GUGUGUAUGUUCAUGCAGCGUGAAUUACCACGCAAUUAGUGGGUUAGUGGUUACGGAUAUGUAAACCGGAGAUCUUGGUGUAAACUGACACUCAAUCAAAUGGCUUUGAAUACCACGCAAAAGGAUGAACAUGCGUAUGUAUAGUACACCAAAUGCCAUAAGAACUGAUGUGACAUACAAAGCAAUUUCAUGAGAUCAGUCUG